rnacentral:rRNA from 1 species
AUUGAACGCUGGCGGCAUGCUUUACACAUGCAAGUCGAACGGUAACAGGCCGCGAGGUGCUGACGAGUGGCGAACGGGUGAGUAAUGCAUCGGAACGUGCCCAGUCGUGGGGGAUAACGCAGCGAAAGCUGCGCUAAUACCGCAUACGAUCUAUGGAUGAAAGCGGGGGACCGAAAGGCCUCGCGCGAUUGGAGCGGCCGAUGUCAGAUUAGGUAGUUGGUGGGGUAAAAGCUCACCAAGCCAACGAUCUGUAGCUGGUCUGAGAGGACGACCAGCCACACUGGGACUGAGACACGGCCCAGACUCCUACGGGAGGCAGCAGUGGGGAAUUUUGGACAAUGGGCGCAAGCCUGAUCCAGCAAUGCCGCGUGCAGGAAGAAGGCCUUCGGGUUGUAAACUGCUUUUGUACGGAACGAAACGGUCCGGGUUAAUACCCUGGGCUAAUGACGGUACCGUAAGAAUAAGCACCGGCUAACUACGUGCCAGCCGCCGCAGUAAGAC